GACGAACGCGGGCGGCGUGCCUAAUACAUGCAAGUAGAACGCUGAAAGGAGGAGCUUGCUUCUCUGGAUGAGUUGCGAACGGGUGAGUAACGCGUAGGUAACCUGCCUGGUAGCGGGGGAUAACUAUUGGAAACGAUAGCUAAUACCGCAUAAGAGUAGAUGUUGCAUGACAUUUGCUUAAAAGGUGCAAUUGCAUCACUACCAGAUGGACCUGCGUUGUAUUAGCUAGUUGGUGGGGUAACGGCUCACCAAGGCGACGAUACAUAGCCGACCUGAGAGGGUGAUCGGCCACACUGGGACUGAGACACGGCCCAGACUCCUACGGGAGGCAGCAGUAGGGAAUCUUCGGCAAUGGACGGAAGUCUGACCGAGCAACGCCGCGUGAGUGAAGAAGGUUUUCGGAUCGUAAAGCUCUGUUGUAAGAGAAGAACGAGUGUGAGAGUGGAAAGUUCACACUGUGACGGUAUCUUACCAGAAAGGGACGGCUAACUACGUGCCAGCAGCCGCGGUAAUACGUAGGUGGCAAGCGUUAUCCGGAUUUAUUGGGCGUAAAGAGAGUGCAGGCGGUUUUCUAAGUCUGAUGUGAAAGCCUUCGGCUUAACCGGAGAAGUGCAUCGGAAACUGGAUAACUUGAGUGCAGAAGAGGGUAGUGGAACUCCAUGUGUAGCGGUGGAAUGCGUAGAUAUAUGGAAGAACACCAGUGGCGAAGGCGGCUACCUGGUCUGCAACUGACGCUGAGACUCGAAAGCAUGGGUAGCGAACAGG
rnacentral:rRNA from 1 species